CCUACGGGUGGCAGCAGUGGGGAAUAUUGCGCAAUGGCCGAAAGCCUGACGCAGCGACGCCGCGUGAGGGAUGAAGGUCCUCGGAUCGUAAACCUCUGUCUGCAGGGAAGUACGGUUACUGUGCUAAUCAGCAGUGCAUUGACGGUACCUGCAAACGUCGCAUCGGCUAGCUCCGUGCCAGCCGCCGAGGUAAUACGGAGGGGGCGAGCGUUAAUAGGAAUGACUGGGUGUAAAGCGCGCGUAGGCGGUAUGUCAAGUCAAGGGUGAAAUCCCCGGGCUCAACGUGGGAACUGCCUUUGAAACUGGCAAACUGGAGUGUGUGUGAGGAUAGUGGAAUGCCAGGUGUAGGGGUGAAAUGCGUAGAUAUCAGGAGGAACAUCAGUGGCGAAGGUGACUAUCUGGCACAUAACUGACGCUGAGGAGCGAAAGCGUGGGUAGCAAACAGGAUUAGAUACCCUGGUAGUC
rnacentral:rRNA from 1 species